UCCCUGGUAGCUGAAACUGUAAAGCGACUGUCUACAAUGCAGGUGACCUGGGUUCGAUCCCUGGGUUGGGAA
rnacentral:tRNA from 1 species